UUUAAACAAAAAUUAAAUGAGUAAAUGACAUUUUUUGUCAUCUCGCCCUAGUCGCCUUAAUCGCAUAUUAUCUGAUCUAUGCAGCUAUCUUUAACGUCUCUACCGCCGUCGUCCCGAAUAUCGUUAUUUUUUUUAAAGGAUUUUCAUAUUUUUAAACGAUGACAUGCUGAUAAUUACAACUGACGUGUUGAAAUAAAAACUUAAAAUAUUUUGUGAACAUUAUAGAAUACUUGCAU